AGGGUUUGAUCCUGGCUCAGGAUGAACGCUGGCGGCGUGCCUAAUACAUGCAAGUCGAACGAAGAUGUUCUUGAGUUUACUCGAGAGCUCUUAGUGGCGAACGGGUGAGUAACGCGUUGGUGACCUGCCCUAAAGAAGGGAACAACCUCGGGAAACUGAGGCUAAUACCCUAUGUGCUUCUUAAGAUUUGACGCUUUUGAAGUAAAGGUUCUGUGGACGAAAGGCCACAGUGCCGCUUUAGGAGGGGCCUGCGUCCCAUCAGCUAGUUGGUAGGGUAAUGGCCUACCAAGGCGAUGACGGGUAGGGGACCUGAGAGGGUGACCCCCCACACUAGCACUGAAACACGGGCUAGACACCUACGGGUGGCAGCAGUAGGGAAUAUUGCACAAUCGACGAAAGUCUGAUGCAGCAACGCCGCGUGUGCGAUGAAGGCCUUCGGGUUGUAAAGCACUUUUCUGAGGGAAGAGAAAGGACGGUACCUCAGGAAAAAGUCUCGGCUAACUACGUGCCAGCAGCCGCGGUAAUACGUAGGAGGCGAGCGUUAUCCGGAUUUAUUGGGCGUAAAGCGCGUGCAGGUGGUUUGGUAAGUUGGGUAUGAAAUCUCCUGGCUUAACUAGGAGAGGUUGCUCAAAACUACCAGACUAGAGGACGGUAGAGGAAGGUGGAAUUCCCGGUGUAGUAGUGAAAUGCGUAGAUAUCGGGAGGAACACCAGUGGCGAAGGCGGCCUUCUGGGCCGUUCCUGACACUAAGACGCGAAAGCAUGGGUAGCAAACGGGUUUAGAAACCCCGGUAGUCCAUGCCGUAAACGAUGUGAACUUGAUGUCGGUGGCGUAAUAGUCAUCGGUGUCGUAGUUAACGCGAUAAGUUCACCGCCUGGGGAGUACGAUCGCA
rnacentral:rRNA from 1 species